UACGGAGGGUGCAAGCGUUGUCCGGAUUUAUUGGGUUUAAAGGGUACGUAGGCGGAUUUUUAAGUCCGUGGUGAAAGCCUACAGCUUAACUGUAGAACUGCCAUGGAUACUGGAAAUCUUGAAUUCAGUUGAGGUAAGCGGAAUUUAUGAUGUAGCGGUGAAAUGCAUAGAUAUCAUAAAGAACACCAAUUGCGAAGGCA
rnacentral:rRNA from 1 species